rnacentral:rRNA from 1 species
UGGGGAAUUUUCCGCAAUGGGCGAAAGCCUGACGGAGCAAUACCGCGUGAGGAAAGACGGCUUUUGGGUUGUAAACCUCUUUUCUCUGGGAAGAAGGUCUGACGGUACCGGAGGAAUCAGCAUCGGCUAACUCCGUGCCAGCAGCCGCGGUAAUACGGAGGAUGCAAGCGUUAUCCGGAAUUAUUGGGCGUAAAGCGUCCGCAGGCGGUUAUUUAAGUCUGUUGUCAAAGGUCACAGCUCAACUGUGGAUCGGCAAUGGAAACUGAAUGACUAGAGUGUGGUAGGGGUAGAGGGAAUUCCCAGUGUAGCGGUGAAAUGCGUAGAUAUUGGGAAGAACACCAGCGGCGAAAGCGCGCAACUGGGCUGAGACUGACACUGAGGGACGAAAGCUAGAGGAGCGAAAGGGAUUAGAUACCCCUGUAGUCCUAGCCGUAAACGAUGGACACUAGGUGUUGCGCGUAUCGACCCGUGCAGUGCCGUAGCUAACGCGUUAAGUGUCCCGCCUGGGGAGUACGCACGCAAGUGUG